rnacentral:rRNA from 1 species
GAUGAACGCUGGCGGCGUGCCUAAUACAUGCAAGUCGAGCGAACGGACGAGAAGCUUGCUUCUCUGAUGUUAGCGGCGGACGGGUGAGUAAAACGUGGAUAACCUACCUAUAAGACUGGGAUAACUUCGGGAAACCGGAGCUAAUACCGGAUAAUAUUUUGAACCGCAUGGUUCAAAAGUGAAAGACGGUCUUGCUGUCACUUAUAGAUGGAUCCGCGCUACAUUAGCUAGUUGGUAAGGUAACGGCUUACCAAGGCAACGAUGCAUAGCCGACCUGAGAGGGUGAUCGGCCACACUGGAACUGAGACACGGUCCAGACUCCUACGGGAGGCAGCAGUAGGGAAUCUUCCGCAAUGGGCGAAAGCCUGACGGAGCAACGCCGCGUGAGUGAUGAAGGUCUUCGGAUCGUAAAACUCUGUUAUUAGGGAAGAACAUAUGUGUAAGUAACUGUGCACAUCUUGACGGUACCUAAUCAGAAAGCCACGGCUAACUACGUG